rnacentral:misc_RNA from 1 species
CUGUAAUCAGCCUCUGGUUGUACACACAUUGCAGCAAUUGCAGCCACCUGAAUAACCCCUUUCAUUGAGAAUUGACCCUCUAAUGCUGGAUCCAUAAUUUGCCUGACCUUCUCUCUAUCUGUCAACUGAGGCAGCACUCAGGGGCAACAUAUCCCUUGGUGCCCAACACUCGAGUUGAGACAUGUCCAACAGCUUUGUCUGGUCCAAGCUUGGCCAAUCCAAAAUCAGAAACUUUGGCAUGGAAAUUUUUGUCGAAGAGGAUGUUGCUGCUCUUGAAAUCUCUGUGAAUCAC